rnacentral:rRNA from 1 species
AUUGAACGCUGGCGGCAGGCCUAACACAUGCAAGUCGAGCGAGCGGCGGACGGGUGAGUAAUGUCUGGGAAACUGCCUGAUGGAGGGGGAUAACUACUGGAAACGGUAGCUAAUCCCGCAUCCCAUCAGAUGUGCCCAGAUGGGAUUAGCUAGUAGGUGGGGUAACGGCUCACCUAGGCGACGAUCCCUAGCUGGUCUGAGAGGAUGACCAGCACCACGGGAACUGAGCCACGGUCCAUACUCUUACGGGCGGCAGCCGGGGGGAAUAUUGCACAAUGGGCGCAAUCCUGAUGCAGCCAUGCCGCGUGGGUGAAGAAGGCCUUCGGGUUGUAAAGCACUUUCAGCGGGGAGGCGUUACCCGCAGAAGAAGCAACGGCUAACUCCGUGCCAGCAGCCGCGGUAAUAC